GAUUCAAUAUAUCCGGAAGCAACUGUCAUGGCUGCUGUCAGUGAGGGCCCGUAAUGGAGAUCGAGUCAAGGGUUGCCCAGGGACACUUAAGAGCCUUCGGCUUCAAGGAGGCCUCUCAAAGGACAAAGGAUGAGACUGCCUGGCGGCAGAGUGCCCCCCACAAUCGUAGGAACUGUGUCGCCGCGCUUCCCGUUAACUUGCCGCUAAGUUUUUCUAGAAAAGUCGCCCUUCUUGCCAGGGGUGUCCUAUAGACUUUGUCAUGGAGUGAAACAGAAACAAAUGAGCUAUGGAAAAAUGAACUCCAACUUACACAAAAUCUACUUUAAUUUCUUCAUUCCAGCAUGGAUGAGAUCCACUUGCUGUAUUGGUUUUGUAUACAGUGUGCUGGAAAGAAACUUCCACGAAUGGAUGUACAGUAUCCUGAAACACAUAAUAAACAUUGACUAGAUUUUGAAAUACUAUAUAUAGUCGAUAAAGGUAGAGGCCUAGGAAAUUACUUGGCAAAUGUAUGGCUUAAGUUUUCUAGUUUUUCAAAUGACCAUUAUUUAUUUAUUUAUUGAAUAAACAUCUACUGGGUCUAUUCUA
rnacentral:lncRNA from 1 species